GGUGACGAGUGGCGGACGGGAGUGUAAUGUCUGGGAAACUGCCCGAUGGAGGGGGAUAACUACUGGAAACGGUAGCUAAUACCGCAUAACGUCGCAAGACCAAAGUGGGGGACCUUCGGGCCUCACACCAUCGGAUGUGCCCAGAUGGGAUUAGCUAGUAGGUGGGGUAAUGGCUCACCUAGGCGACGAUCCCUAGCUGGUCUGAGAGGAUGACCAGCCACACUGGAACUGAGACACGGUCCAGACUCCUACGGGAGGCAGCAGUGGGGAAUAUUGCACAAUGGGCGCAAGCCUGAUGCAGCCAUGCCGCGUGUAUGAAGAAGGCCUUCGGGUUGUAAAGUACUUUCAGCGGGGAGGAAGGCGAUAAGGUUAAUAGCCUUGUCGAUUGACGUUACCCGCAGAAGAAGCACCGGCUAACUCCGUGCCAGCAGCCGCGGUAAUACGGAGGGUGCAAGCGUUAAUCGGAAUUACUGGGCGUAAAGCGCACGCAGGCGGUCUGUCAAGUCGGAUGUGAAAUCCCCGGGCUUAACCUGGGAACUGCAUUCGAAACUGGCAGGCUAGAGUCUUGUAGAGGGGGGUAGAAUUCCAGGUGUAGCGGUGAAAUGCGUAGAGAUCUGGAGGAAUACCGGUGGCGAAGGCGGCCCCCUGGACAAAGACUGACG
rnacentral:rRNA from 1 species